CUGUUCAACGGCCGCGGUAUCCUAACCGUGCGAAGGUAGCGUAAUCACUUGUUCUUUAAAUGAGGACUAGUAUGAACGGCACCACGAGGGUUAAGCUGUCUCCCUUUUCUAAUCAGUGAAACUAAUUUCCCCGUGAAGAAGCGGGGAUAAAUCUAUAAGACGAGAAGACCCUAUGGAGCUUCAAACACACAACAAAUGCCCCGCCUCUUGUUAAUCUCCGGAAAACCAUUAACCCGGGCACUUUGACUUCAAGUUUUAGGUUGGGGUGACCGCGGAGUAUAAAAUAUCCUCCACAGCGAACGGGACCUAAUCCCUAAGCUCAGGGCUACAACCCCAGGAAUCAAUAAAUUGACACCCAUUGACCCAAUAUUUUUGACCAACGAACCAAGUUACCCUAGGGAUAACAGCGCAAUCCACUUCAAGAGCCCCUAUCGACAAGUGGGUUUACGACCUCGAUGUUGGAUCAGGGUACCCCAGUGGUGCAGCCGCUACUAAAGGUUCGUUUG
rnacentral:rRNA from 1 species